rnacentral:lncRNA from 1 species
CGGCAGGCAGAGCCAUCCACACUCACCCCAACACUGUGCAUCUAACACUGGCCCUGACCCUCCAGGAGGCUGCGGGGACACAGAGCCUUCCUUCACCGGGGACCCCUGCCYGGCACGGAGAGCAGCCCAGCCAUGCCCAAGCCCAGCUUUCUUCUCCCCAAGAUGAAGAGGAGCAUCCAGGUCCCUUUGUUCCCACCACACCCAACGAAG